rnacentral:miRNA from 1 species
GAAUGUACAACUCACUAAUGCACC